AGACGGGUGAGGAACACGUACGCAACUUUCCUUAAACCGGGGCACAACCUUGAGAAAUCAGGGCUAAUUCCCCAUAACAUUGCGAGAGGGCAUCUGAUUGCAAUUAAAGAUUCGUCGGUUUGAGAUGGGCGUGCGUUCGAUUAGCUAGUUGGUAGGGUAACGGCUUACCAAGGCAACGAUCGAUAGCUGGUGUGAGAGCACGACCAGCCACACGGGCACUGAGAUACGGGCCCGACUCCUACGGGAGGCAGCAGUAAGGAAUAUUGGUCAAUGGACGAAAGUCUGAACCAGCCAUGCCGCGUGAGGGAUGAAGGUCCUCUGGAUUGUAAACCUCUUUUAUCUAUGAAGAAAUGUCCUGUUUCUACGGGAUUUGACGGUAAUAGAUGAAUAAGCACCGGCUAACUCCGUGCCAGCAGCCGCGGUAAUACGGAGGGUGCAAGCGUUAUCCGGAUUUACUGGGUUUAAAGGGUGCGUAGGUGGGUUGGUAAGUCAGUGGUGAAAUACUUUCGCUUAACGAAGGAACUGCCAUUGAUACUACCAGUCU
rnacentral:rRNA from 1 species